AACGAACGCUGGCGGCAUGCCUAAUACAUGCAAGUCGAACGAGAUCUUCGGAUCUAGUGGCGCACGGGUGCGUAACGCGUGGGAAUCUGCCCUUGGGUUCGGAAUAACAUCGGGAAACUGAUGCUAAUACCGGAUGAUGACGUAAGUCCAAAGAUUUAUCGCCCAGGGAUGAGCCCGCGUGAGAUUAGCUUGUUGGUGGGGUAAAGGCCUACCAAGGCGACGAUCUCUAGCUGGUCUGAGAGGAUGAUCAGCCACACUGGGACUGAGACACGGCCCAGACUCCUACGGGAGGCAGCAGCAGGGAAUAUUGGACAAUGGGGGCAACCCUGAUCCAGCAAUGCCGCGUGAGUGAUGAAGGCCUUAGGGUUGUAAAGCUCUUUUACCCGAGAUGAUAAUGACAGUAUCGGGAGAAUAAGCCCCGGCUAACUCCGUGCCAGCCGCCGCCGUAA
rnacentral:rRNA from 1 species